GUGUAUAGUGUACACUAUAUGUAAUAUGUAUAGUGACCAUGGUGCACUGACCCAUACGGACUGAAAACACUUGAAAGGUCAAAUGGCCAUUGAAUAUAAAUCAUAAAUUCUACCGCAGUGGAGUCAAGUCGAAACAACAAUGUUCUCGAAAACAUUUGUACAGCAUACCUCAACUACACCGCAUAUUAAAAUACAUUGAUGAUAAAAUGAUAAAAUAAACAGUAUACGGUUCGAAAGAGACCGGAUUCGGAGUCAGCGCACACCGCCAAGGACAAAGCCUUGAACCUCGCCGGGCCACCAGACGACCGCCGCCGCCGCCGCCAAUACUUGUCAGCAUUCCAACAAUGCGAUAUCUAUUAUAUAAUAAUAAUAUAUAAUACGUGUAAAUCUCACCGCCGUGCAUGAGUUUUGCGAGAUCGACAAAUGCCGUUUCGACCGCGAGUCCCGGGAAUUAUGUUUUUAUCUCGUCCCCGGUGCGCGCCGGCGCCGACGCUGGACGGGCGCCAAUGCUUGUAUUCGACGCGCGCGCACGUAUUGCGCGCGGCAAAGUUUGCGCGGAGGAUUUCGACGGACCACUGCAGAAGGGGAAAGAACAUCACAAUAUCCGUCCGUCUUCGGAGCAGACGACGCGAUUCCGAGCACACGGUAUUCGGAAAACGUGGUUUUCGCACUAAAUCUCAUUUGUCCGCAUGCGCAGGGUGAUUAACCAAGCACGUGCAUCCCCUUUAUUCGAUUAACAAAUACAUUCAUUUUAAUUAUGGUUUUUGGAGUUUAUAAAUGUACUCAAAAACCAUGUUAUCAAAUCAGCGAGAUUUUUGUGUACUAUUUAACGAGUCAACGUUUAUAGUUAGUAAAAAUGG